rnacentral:rRNA from 1 species
AGAGUUUGAUCAUGGCUCAGAUUGAACGCUGGCGGCAGGCUUCACACAUGCAAGUCGAACGGUAACAGGAAGGAAGCUUGCUUUCUUUGCUGACGAGUGGCGGACGGGUGAGUAAUGCUUGGAAAUCUGGCUUAUGGAGGGGGAUAACUACGGGAAACUGUAGCUAAUACCGCGUAAUAUCUUCGGAUUAAAGGGUGGGACUUUCGGGCCACCUGCCAUAAGAUGAGCCCAAGUGGGAUUAGGUAGUUGGUGGGGUAAAGGCCUACCAAGCCGACGAUCUCUAGCUGGUCUGAGAGGAUGACCAGCCACACUGGAACUGAGACACGGUCCAGACUCCUACGGGAGGCAGCAGUGGGGAAUAUUGCACAAUGGGGGGAACCCUGAUGCAGCCAUGCCGCGUGAAUGAAGAAGGCCUUCGGGUUGUAAAGUUCUUUCGGUGAUGAGGAAGGUGUUUGUUUUAAUAGAACAAGCAAUUGACGUUAGUCACAGAAGAAGCACCGGCUAACUCCGUGCCAGCAGCCGCGGUAAUACGGAGGGUGCGAGCGUUAAUCGGAAUGACUGGGCGUAAAGGGCACGCAGGCGGUGACUUAAGUGAGAUGUGAAAGCCCCGAGCUUAACUUGGGAAUUGCAUUUCAUACUGGGUCGCUAGAGUAUUUUAGGGAGGGGUAGAAUUCCACGUGUAGCGGUGAAAUGCGUAGAGAUGUGGAGGAAUACCGAAGGCGAAGGCAGCCCCUUGGGAAUAUACUGACGCUCAUGUGCGAAAGCGUGGGGAGCAAACAGGAUUAGAUACCCUGGUAGUCCACGCUGUAAACGCUGUCGAUUUGGGGAUUGGGCUUAGAGCUUGGUGCCCGUAGCU